GGGGUGGUUGAGGCGGGGAUUGAUGGUUCUCGGAUCGACGGGAGGAUAUUAGAAGGAUUAAUUUGGAAUCAGGAAAUUUGAAUGAAAAGUCACAGCAGGAUCUGACAGAGGAUAUCAUUGAAUCUUGAACAUGAAACGAAACAAACCCAUUCAAAGUGCGGAGAAACCGUACACGUGUUGUGUGUGUGGGCGAGGCUUCAGCCGAUCAUCUGGAUUGUCGAGACACAAAUGGAGUCACAACAAGGACAAACCCUGGAAAUGCCGGGACUGUGGAAAGGGAUUCAGAUUCCCAUCUGAGCUGGAAACUCAUCGACGCAGUCACACUGGAGAGAGACCAUUCACUUGUCCUGAAUGUGGGAAGGGAUUUACAAAUUCUUCUGAUCUGCAGACACACCAACGAGUUCACACUGGAGAGAGGCCAUUCACCUGCUCUCAGUGUGGAAAGGGAUUCACUCAGUCAUCAGGCCUGCAGAUACACCAGCGAGUUCACAGUGGGGACAGACCAUUCACCUGCUUGGUCUGUGGGAAGGGAUUCACUAAUUCGUCAGACUUGCUGAAACACAAGCCGGUUCAUACUGGGGAGAGUAUGUUCACCUGCUCAGAAUGUGGGAAAGGAUUCACCAAUUCUUCCAACCUGCGGAUACACCAGAGACUACAUACUGGGGAGAGACCAUUCACCUGCUCAGAUUGUGGGAAGGGAUUCACUAAUUCUUCCAACCUGCAGAUACACCAGCGAGUUCAUACUAGUGAGCGACCAUUCACCUGCUCUCAAUGUGGGAAGGGAUUCAGUGAUUCCUCCAACCUGAUGUCCCAUCAACGUGUUCACACUGAUGAGAGACCAUUCAGGUGCUCCCACUGCGGGACAAGGUUCAGGCGUUUAUCUGACCUCACCAGACACCAGCGGAUUCACACUCAGGAGAGACCAUUCACCUGCCCAGAGUGUGGGAAGGGAUUCACUCAAUCAUCUGGUCUGCUGAUACACCGGCGAAUUCACACAGCAGAACGGCCAUUCACCUGCUCUAAGUGUGGGAAAGGAUUCACUGAUUCAUCCAACCUGCGCACGCACCAGCACGUUCACAGUGAUGAGAGACCAUUCAGAUGCCCCCUCUGUGGGUCUGGAUUCAAGCGUUUAUUUGAACUCACCAGGCACCAGCAGACUCACACCAGGGAGAGAUGAUUCACUUGAUCUUAGUGUGGGAAGCAGUUCACCCAGCUAUCCAGCCCACAGAGACACCAGAGAAUACACUCUGGGAAGAAGGAUCUUGCUUACUCUGAGUGUGGGAGAGGGUUUACUCAGUCAUCCAGGAUGCUCGUACUGCAGGGAGUUCACACUUACAACUGAUCAUUUAAAUGCUCAGAGCGUGGGAAGUUAUAAAAAUUCUGGGUCACUGAUAUCUCAUCCAUAUGUUCACACUGACGAGAGACUGGUAAAGUGCUCUCACUGCGAGACUGUGUUCAGGUGAUCAUCUCAACACAAUAUGAACCAGCAAAUAUGCAUUCAUGAGAGGUCAUUCAGCUAAUUAUGUAACUCUGUCAUCCAACAUGCUGAACCAUCAGUGAUUUCAUCAUUAAUGACACUUUGAAUUUUGCUAUUAAUUCCAUCUGGGGGGAGCCCUGUUCAUGAUGCCUGUUUCUGUUGAUGUAAAUGGACUCCAACCCAAUAAUAGCUUUUAAUCGCUGAAAUCAGUCAGCUAAAAGUUGUUCACGAACAGUUAUGGUAGUACAGUACCUGAGAAUUGCUGCAAAGAGCCAGAUGUUGGUGAAUGUUUUUCUUUUACACUCAUCAGGAGAUUUCCCAAGAAUAUAAAUUUAAUGGAGAAGAGACUGCUGAUUGGUUUUCAAGUGGAGGCAUUGCUAUGAAGAAUACACCAGUUAACAAUGAUUGAUUGACAUUUAACUGCCAGGAUUUGUUUAGAUUUCACAUCAGACAGAUUGAUGCUGAUUGGUCAAGGCAGUGCCCUUUGAAUGAACCAGACAAUGGCUUUCACUGAUUUUGUUGAGUUGGUACAAGUGCAGUGCAUGCUGUUUCUCUCCAUAAAGAACAGAGGUAGCCACAUAUAGGUUGGUAUAUACAGGGUCUAGGCCCGAAACGUCAGCCUUCCUGCUCCUAUGAUGCUGCUUGGCCUGCUGUGUUCAUCCAGCUCUGCACCUUGUUGUCUCGGAUUCUCCAGCAUCUGCAGUUCCUACUAUAUCUGAGGAUAUUUGGCAUUUAGAAGAGAUGGACUUAAAGGAAGAGGACGUGUGGACAACUUAAGGAUGAGAUUAGUACAUCACUAACAAAGGAUCCUAACUGAAGGAUCAAAAUGUAAAAUCAAUUUGGGUGGAGCUAAGAAGCAGCAAGGGACAGCAAAAUAAUUAUUGGGAGUUGUUAAUCAGCCACCAGACUGUCAUGGUAAUUUUUAGAGACAAAAAAAAACUGCUGGGAAAACUCAGCAGAUGUGGCAGCAUCUGUGGAGUUUUUUUUUUUGUUCUAUGGUAAUUUUAAGCAUGGUAUUAAUCAAACCAUCACUAAUGCUAUGGAGUUUGAAUUCCUAAUGUGGAUGAAAUGUGUUUCUGAGGUACUGCAUUGUUGACUAGAGUUUGGGCUAUUUUGAGUUUAAUGUGUUGUUGUGGAAAAAAAACACUUAUUAAUAACUUUGCUGUAAAGUAGCCUUUCAGGAAAAAGUGACCAUUUUGCAUGAAGCUUAAAUGUGUUAAAAGUUCAUUCUGGAACAAAGGUCUUAAAUCUGAAGGAAUGAAACGAGGAAGCCACUGGGUGCAAGUUGCCGUGGUAGAUUGAGAAAUGCAAAAAUGGUUUGAAGGUAGUCGGCAAUGGUUAAUAUUUGAACAAACUCCACAUGGUAGAAAAUAUAGAAACAUAGAAAUAGGUGCAGGAGUGGGCCAUUCGGCCCUUCAGGCCUGCACCACCAUUCAGUAUCAUCAUAGCUGAUCAUACAAUCUCAGUAUACAAUUCCCCCCUUUCUUCCAUACCCUUUGAUCCCUUUAGCUGUAAAAGCCACAUCCAGCUCCCUCUUGAAUAUACCUAACGAACCAGCCCC